GCCCUAAUAGCUCAGCUGGAUAGAGCAUCGGCCUUCUAAGCCGAGGGUCUCAGGUUCGAAUCCUGAUUAGGGUACCA
rnacentral:tRNA from 1 species